GAACCUAGGAGUUGUGAAAGCAGGAGUUGUGAAAGCAGGAGUUGUGAACCUAGGAGUUGUGAAAGCAGGAGUUGUGAAAGCAGGAGUUGUGAAAGCAGGAGUUGUGAAAGCAGGAGUUGUGAACGUAGGAGUUGUGAACGUAGGAGUUGUGAACGUAGGAGUUGUGAAAGCAGGAGUUGUGAACCUAGGAGUUGUGAACCUAGGAGUUGUGAACCUAGGAGUUGUGAAAGCAGGAGUUGUGAGAGAACUGGUCACUAAUUGAGCCUCUUUAUUACUAUAAUACACAGAGGUAUGUGUUUUACACAUUCAUCAGGCCAACUCCAUCACCACAUACUAUGGUCAUAUUAAUCACCAGGCUGUCAUCAUCAUCAUCAUCAUAAUGAUAUACCUCUUUCUCACACACACAGUCUGUAUUACUGCAGGAAGGGGAAACAAGGCUGUAGAAGCCUGGAUGGCAAACAACUGAAUGGCGAGCCGACACACUGGUACAGAGUAAAACAGAAAGCGUGGCUAAACAGCCUUGAGAUGAAUGAGAGCAUGUCUGUGUCUGGAGUCUCAUUUCAGCAUGGGACGUCAUCACAGAUUCAAUCGCUGCUUUAACCAUCCGAGAGGAAUCCUCUCAGUUCCUUAUUUACACUACGACAAGGAGUAUCCUCUGAGUUCCUUAUUUACACUACAACAAGGAGUAUCCUCAGUUCCUUAUUUACACUACAACAAGGAGUAUCCAUUUACACUACAACAAGGAAUAUCCUCAGUUCCUUAUUUACACUACAACAAGGAGUAUCCUCAGUUCCUUAUUUACACUACAACAAGGAGUAUCCAUUUACACUACAACAAGGAGUAUCCUCAGUUCCUUAUUUACACUACAACAAGGAGUAUCCUCUCAGUUCCUUAUUUACACUACAACAAGGAAUAUCCUCAGUUCCUUAUUUACACUACAACAAGGAGUAUCCAUUUACACUACAACAAGGAAUAUCCUCAGUUCCUUAUUUACACUACAACAAGGAGUAUCCAUUUACACUACAACAAGGAAUAUCCUCAGUUCCUUAUUUACACUACAACAAGGAGUAUCCUCAGUUCCUUAUUUACACUACAACAAGGAGUAUCCUCUCAGUUCCUUAUUUACACUACAACAAGGAGUAUCCUCAGUUCCUUAUUUACAAUACAACAAGGACAAGUAUUUUUCAACACAACUACAAAGACUGUCACAGGGAGACUUUAUAUGGUCUAA
rnacentral:lncRNA from 13 species